GUCAGGAUGAACGCUAGCUACAGGCUUAACACAUGCAAGUCGAGGGGCAGCAUUGGAGUAGCAAUACUCAGAUGGCGACCGGCGCACGGGUGAGUAACACGUAUCCAACCUGCCGCUUACUCGGGGAUAGCCUUUCGAAAGAAAGAUUAAUACCCGAUGGUAUAAAGAGUUCGCAUGUUCUCUUUAUUAAAGAAUUUCGGUAAGCGAUGGGGAUGCGUUCCAUUAGAUAGUUGGCGGGGUAACGGCCCACCAAGUCUACGAUGGAUAGGGGUUCUGAGAGGAAGGUCCCCCACAUUGGAACUGAGACACGGUCCAAACUCCUACGGGAGGCAGCAGUGAGGAAUAUUGGUCAAUGGACGAGAGUCUGAACCAGCCAAAAGUAGCGUGAAGGAUGACUGCCCUAUGGGUUGUAAACUUCUUUUAUAAGGGAAUAAAGUGAGGGACGUGUCCCUUUUUGUAUGUACCUUAUGAAUAAGGAUCGGCUAACUCCGUGCCAGCCGCGGC
rnacentral:rRNA from 1 species